CCUACGGGUGGCAGCAGUGAGGAAUAUUGGUCAAUGGGCGCGAGCCUGAACCAGCCAAGUCGCGUGAGGGAGGACGGCCCUACGGGUUGUAAACCUCUUUUGCCGGGGAGCAACGGGCGUCACGUGUGGCGCCACUGAGAGUACCCGGAGAAAAAGCAUCGGCUAACUCCGUGCCAGCAGCCGCGGUAAUACGGAGGAUGCGAGCGUUAUCCGGAUUUAUUGGGUUUAAAGGGUGCGUAGGCGGAUCGUUAAGUCAGUGGUCAAAUUGAGGGGCUCAACCCCUUCCCGCCAUUGAAACUGGCGCUCUUGAGUGGAAGAGAAGUAUGCGGAAUGCGUGGUGUAGCGGUGAAAUGCAUAGAUAUGACGAAGAACCCCGAUUGCGAAGGCAGCUUGCUGCAGCGGAACUGACGCUGAUGCUCGAAAGCGCGGGUAUCGAACAGGAUUAGAUACCCGAGUAGUC
rnacentral:rRNA from 1 species